GUCCCUAUACCGCAAUGGAUAGCACGUUGGACUUCUAAUCCAAAGGUCGUGGGUUCGAAUCCCACCUGGGAUG